rnacentral:rRNA from 1 species
UUCCAGACAGGUGGUGCAUGGUUGUCGUCAGCUCGUGUCGUGAGAUGUUGGGUUAAGUCCCGCAACGAGCGCAACCCUUAUCUUUAGUAGCCAGCAGGUAGAGCUGGGCACUCUAGGGAGACUGCCAGGGAUAACCUGGAGGAAGGUGGGGAUGACGUCAAAUCAUCAUGCCCCUUAUGAUUUGGGCUACACACGUGCUACAAUGGCGUAAACAAAGGGAAGCGAGAGCGUGAGCUGGAGCAAAUCCCAAAAAUAACGUCUCAGUUCGGACUGCAGGCUGCAACCCGCCUGCACGAAGCUGGAAUCGCUAGUAAUCGCGAAUCAGAAUGUCGCGGUGAAUACGUUCCCGGGUCUUGUACACACCGCCCGUCACACCAUGGGAGUCAGUAACGCCCGAAGUCAGUGACCGAACCGAAAGGGAGGAGCUGCCGAAGGCGGGACGGAUAACUGGGGUGAAGUCGUAACAAGGUAGCCGUAUCGGAAGGUGCGGCUGGAUCACCUC